rnacentral:lncRNA from 1 species
GACUCUAAUGUCAUCAUCCAUCCACUUUUGAUGCAUCUGACGCUGAACAUCAGUAGGACGUGUUGGUAGUGUGGGGCUAUCUGAAUCGAGUAUGUAGCCUAUUUUCUCACAGUCCAAAAUAAUUUUGAGGUUUCUAAGCCAGUCCUUGUAAUUGGUUCCGGUCAGUCGGUUGGUCUCAAGAAUAUGGGUCAAAGGGUUUGAAGCUGACAUUGUAUCUGCAGAGAGUAAAGAUUCUAGUUAGACU